AAGGGGUGAAAGGGAGCUUGAAGGCAGAAAUUGCAAACAUGGAGAAUGUGACUUCGAAGUGCGAGGGUCCGAGGAGGGGUGUGGAUUAUGAGGAGGAGGUGGAGAUCGAGGGGGUGAUGGAUGGAGAAGGUGUCAGGUAUUGGGAGGAAAGAACCAGGGUGUUGAAAGAAUCAGGUGCGGACGCAAGAUCUGUGAAGCAUAUCGGGAAAGAGAAACCAGUGCGGGAGGACGAGGGAGAGGGGGAGGGGAAGAGAGCAUCAGGAGACGAGUUCUUGAAGGAGGUGAUGGAGGCGGUGCGGCUCACACGACAACCGACCCCCUGGAUGGUCCGGCGGGAGAAGCUGGUGAGAAUCAUAAAGCACGACAUGGAGAGGAUGAACUCAAGACCCGGGAGCUUUGUAGCGGAGAGCCUGCGCUACAACCAGAACUUGGCAAGAGCGUAUCUGCGCUUCGGCUUACAAAGAUGCCCAUCGAAAGACGAGCUGGCGAUCCGAGAGAAUCGCAUGCUGCGGAGGAAGAUGAUGAUGUUGAGCCAAGAAGAGUAGUCACCAAGAACCCAAACAUCAAUCGAGUGGAAACCCGCACAACACAAGGUCAGGGUUAGUGCGACCCAACAACAUGACCUCUCAUGCUUAUCCAACAUCCACUUCACUUGCAAUCUUUGCCAAGCAACCGCACUGCGCGAGAAAAGCUUCGAACCUCGCUAAUACCCAUGUCAAUGAAAUGACUCCUUCACAACUACAACAGCGGCUGCAUGCUUAGUGGCUUUAGAUCUCAAGUGGGCUUUCUUUCCAUCGCCGUUACAAUAAAGCUAGACUUAUAUGCUUUUGAACCCCUCAAACACAACCUCAAAGAAAGAAAAGUAUUCUACCUGGGUUCAUGUCUGCUUUCUUCACCGAAACUGUCGCUCUCAACUGAGCAUCUUUCGAGGCAAGUACGGAGGAGCAAGAGAGAGCAGAGCAGAAAAGCCUUAUGAAUGCUUGCUGGCUAAGCUCUGGAGCAGCAUUGCAAGAAUGGGUACAGUCAUUGGAACAAAGCCUCACGUGCACAUGCGCAUGUGAUGACGUAUUUGCGAAGAAACGAUUUUGUGAACAAAACCAUGAAUCAUGACUGUGUGAAUAUGAAUUUACGAUAUAUUUAUGUAUGUAUGCAUGUAAAUAUAUAAAUCUAUAUAUAUAUAUAUAUAUAUAUUUAUUUACUCA